rnacentral:rRNA from 1 species
CUACGGGAGGCAGCAGUGGGGAAUAUUGGUCAAUGGAGGCAACUCUGAACCAGCCAUGCCGCGUGCAGGAUGACGGUCCUAUGGAUUGUAAACUGCUUUUGUACAGGAAGAAACCUCCCUACGAGUAGGGACUUGACGGUACUGUAAGAAUAAGGAUCGGCUAACUCCGUGCCAGCAGCCGCGGUAAUACGGAGGAUCCGAGCGUUAUCCGGAAUUAUUGGGUUUAAAGGGUUCGUAGGCGGCUUUGUAAGUCAGUGGUGAAAUUUCCUAGCUUAACUAGGACACUGCCAUUGAUACUGCAGAGCUUGAAUAAUAUGGAAGUAACUAGAAUAUGUAGUGUAGCGGUGAAAUGCUUAGAUAUUACAUGGAAUACCAAUUGCGAAGGCAGGUUACUACGUAUUUAUUGACGCUGAUGAACGAAAGCGUGGGGAGCGAACAGGAUUAGAUACCCCGGU